CUUUUGCAGCCUUCAGAUCCGGUGAGCCCUGUUUGACAGAUGCAGAGUCUGGUUUAAGGACUAAAAGUCCAUAUCCUUUACAGUUAUAUUGAAAUUUGUUGUCUUUAAACUCACCUCUAGCCCAACACAGAAGGAAUGGAGCUGUGCUCCCCACUGCUUAGCAGCCUUUGUGCCUGCUAAGUGGCGAGCGGUAAUAGAGGCAACUAAGGAUGAAUCCAGACCUCCUGACAGCAGAACCCCAAAAGGAACAUCGGUCAUUAACCUCUUGAUCACGGCCUGCAUUUUGCAACCAAGACGUACAAUGAAACAAUUUUCUGACCAGUUGGUUUACGAAUUAAAAGGGUUAGGUUCCAUGAAACU
rnacentral:lncRNA from 1 species